CGUACACUCCUGCGGGAGGCAGCAGUGGGGAAUAUUGCACAAUGGGCGCAAGCCUGAUGCAGCCAUGCCGCGUGUAUGAAGAAGGCCUUCGGGUUGUAAAGUACUUUCAGCGGGGAGGAAGGCAAUACGGUUAAUAACCGUGUUGAUUGACGUUACCCGCAGAAGAAGCACCGGCUAACUCCGUGCCAGCAGCCGCGGUAAUACGGAGGGUGCAAGCGUUAAUCGGAAUUACUGGGCGUAAAGCGCACGCAGGCGGUCUGUCAAGUCGGAUGUGAAAUCCCCGGGCUCAACCUGGGAACUGCAUUCGAAACUGGCAGGCUUGAGUCUUGUAGAGGGGGGUAGAAUUCCAGGUGUAGCGGUGAAAUGCGUAGAGAUCUGGAGGAAUACCGGUGGCGAAGGCGGCCCCCUGGACAAAGACUGACGCUCAGGUGCGAAAGCGUGGGGAGCAAACAGGAUUAGAAACCCGAGUAGUCCCAUG
rnacentral:rRNA from 1 species